AGAAUAAACAUUAAAAAAAUUUUUUUAAUAAAAAAGAAAAGAGGAGGACACUUGUUGGGAUGGGCACUGGGUGUUAUAGGUAGGGGAUGAAUCAUUGGAUUCUACUCGUGAAAUCAUUCUUGCACUAUACGCUGACUAACAUGGAUGUAAAUUACAAAAAAAGAAAAAGAACAAGAAGAAAGAAAUGGAGCCUGAAGACAGGACUGACUUCCUGCCUGCAAUCUCAUGAUAAAACUUGAGCCGAUGAGGCGUUGCUUCUGAUGGAUGAGCCAAGAAAGUGGUUUCUUGAGAUGGGACCCUCUCCUGGUGAAGAGAUGCCGUGAACACUGUUGAAAUGACAGCAAGGGAUUGAGACUAUCACAGAGGCUUGGUUGAUAAAGCGGUGACAGGGUUUGGGGGGAUUGACUCCAAUUUUGAAAGGAGUUCAAAAUUGUGGGUAAAGUGCUAUCAAGCAGCGUCCCGUGCUAUGGAGAAGUCGUUUGUGGAAGGUCGUGGCACACUCCCCUGUUGUCUUAGUUUAAGAAAUUGCCACAGCCUCCCCGGCCUUCGGCGAGCACCACCCCGAUCAGUCAGCAGCCAUCAGCACUGAGACAGGAUCCUCCACCAGCGAAAAGAUUGUGACUCACUGGGAACUCAGAUGCUCUGCAGCAUUUUUCUUGUUUUUUGGCAGUAAAGUGGUAUGGAACGGAACCCACGCUACCUCUCAGGUAUGCCUGUAGAUAAAACCGUAUCUAGUCAGUCCCCAAAGUGAGAACCUACGCCAGCCCAGAAAUGACAGGAAAUUCGAACAGAAUUCCAGCAAACUGGUCUGGACACAGAAACCCCAAGCCUGUUAGAUUUAUGGACCAGAGGAGGAGGGAAUUUGAUCCUCCAGAAGCAGAAACUGUACAUCUUGGGCCCCUUACCGCUGAUGUUAAAACUUAACACCUUAGAUCAUCGGGAGAAAAUAAUACUAAUUUCAAAGGGUUUCACUUGACCAAUAGCAACAAUGUGGACAGGACGAUGGCCUACACUUCACAUAUCAUACCUUAAAAUAUCUCCAUGGAAAACACCAGGAGGAGUAGUAAUAUAAUAAUGAAAUUAGGACUAUUAACUAUUAUGACAGGGACAGACACAUUCACCGCUACCUGCAGAAGGGACGGAACAGUUUUUAAAAGGCAGUCUAAAUGUACUGCAGUCUUAUGUACUGUAUUUACAGGCCAUAGAAACAUAGAAGUGACUGACAAGAACAGCUGAGGAAAUAAGUCAAGAUUCCAUUUGUGUACAUAAAGAUAACAGGCCUCCACCGAAUGUACAUAGACCGUGGCAAUCACCUUAGGCCACACAGACCUGAGGCCACAAGGUGCUACCGUCAGUCGAAACCAUUUAGGACACCACCUUGCGAAACAAAUUAUGAAAAGACAAACCCAGUAGGAACCCCAGAAACUACUUACAGUGGCAGAGAAAUAGAAACAACCAAUCUUUUAAUGUAAAUAGGCCUAAAGAAAAAAGAAACACCUGUCAACGCAGCAAUCCAUUUACUGUAAAUACUAACCCCUUUAUAAAGCCAAAUCCCACUAACAGAUAAGUCACCAAUAACCAUAACCGAUAACCGAAGGAGAGAAAACCCCAGGGGACCCUUAAAGGGACUCAGCAAUCUCUGUCUCCUGGCUAAAGCCAGAAACAUCCGUCCAUGUUACAGUAACCGUAUCAAUAGAAAACCCUCUUGUAAAUAAAAAUACUGCUUAUACCACUAUGCCGUUAGAUACGGGGCCCAAGUAACAAUGAUACAGGAUAUCCUACUGAUUUAGAACAUUUUAUCAAUAAAAAUGAAACUCCUAAAGGAC